rnacentral:rRNA from 1 species
UACGGAGGGUGCAAACGUUGCUCGGAAUCAUUGGGCGUAAAGCGCAUGUAGGCGGUCCAGCAAGUCGGGUGUGAAAGCCCUCGGCUUAACCGAGGAAGUGCAUUCGAAACUAUUGGACUUGAGUACUGAAGAGGGUCGCGGAAUUCCCGGUGUAGAGGUGAAAUUCGUAGAUAUCGGGAGGAACACCAGUGGCGAAGGCGGCGACCUGGGCAGAUACUGACGCUGAGAUGCGAAAGCGUGGGGAGCAAACAGG